rnacentral:lncRNA from 10 species
AAUGUCUGCUGUCCUUCAAUAAAGGGGAAGAAGAACCCCAAAGAAGAGGAAGCAGAAGAGGAGGUGAAGAAAUGUGAGGAGGCCUCUCUCCACCAUUGCUGGCUCUGAAGAUGGAUGAAGAAAACCUUGGACCAAGGAAUGCAGGAGCAUCUAGAAGCUGGAAAAGGUCAGCCAGAAUGCAAACAACAUUUCCAAGAAUCCUUGACUGAAUCUUCCAAACAGGUUUCCAUGGGAUGUUCAUGAGAAAGAUUUCAGGAUGGACAGGAGACUGCAAACAAAGCCCCUCUCACUGGGCAGCUCAUGCGCUUUCCUGAACAGAGGAAGUAUCCUUUGCCUUUCCUGUGGAAUUGAUGAGACCAAAUGUCGUCAAACCUACUUCCAAGGCUUCUGAAGAGCCGCCAUAGUAUAAUGUGUCUUGUACCAUCUCAGUGAUUGAUUUGAAGCAAGCAACCACAAAUCCUACAGCUGUACAGAACUGGAUGCUGCCAACAUGGAAACAGGAAAGUGGAUGCGUCCUUAGACAAGCCUAUGGAUGAGAACCAACUCCAGAUGAUACCUUGACUGCUGCUCUGAAAGAUCCUAAUCAUAGGACCCAAGGAAGCUCUGCCUGGACUCCGGAGUCACACAAACAGAUGUGUUGUUUUAAUCCACUACAUUCAGUGGUGGUAAAUUGUGUUACACAGCAAUAUAUAAUGAAUAUCAUGUAAGUUUGGUUUGGUAGCUGUAGACAUUAGAACAUCUGUGAGAAAGCAAGUGUCUACUUAAAAUGUGACAUUCCAAAUAAUAUCCAAAUACCUCCAGGCACCACAGUCUGAGAGAGAGAAGGAGAGAGACAGAGAGAUGGAGAGAGAGACAACGAGAAGCAAAGUGAAUAGUAGUUCAAUGGGUUGUUUUCGUUUGGAAUUUAGUGAGGUUUGGGCCAUAAGAAAUUCUAUCCCAGUGCCCAGGAGACAGAAGAUGACAGACUUGGGCUGGGAAAUAGAAACAUUUUUUAUAUCGUCUCCCUCCCUCUCCCCACCAUCUUAGCCUAUUCUCUCUGGGCGAUGGAGCACAAAGCUGUGAAUGGCCCCUUCCUGAGCCACUUGGGUUCUUAAUCCUGUGUUAGGCCCAGCUCUCCCCCUAAACUUCCUUGCUCAUUAAUAAACUUUGGACAGAACACGUAAGUGUGUGGGGAGAGUGUUUUAGAAGAGCAACCAAGAUAUCCCAAAGUACUGCUAACUUGCUGACUUUACAGAAUUUAAUUUUAUUUUUUUCACUCUACAACCUCCACAUCCUGAAUCACAUUAUACAACCACAGCAGUAGCUGGAAUAUCUAUUGAGCUGGGCGGAGGCUGCAGGAAAGGUUGAUAAUGACAUCGUUUCCCUUUUGUUGCUUUACUUAUUUUCAAUCAAAUUGACUGCUUAUUCUGAUUGGGACGUGGAAGUAUGAGUUUUAGAGGAAGCAGAAUGAAUGGAGGACCAAAAACACAAUAGUCCGGAGAAAGAGGAGGCACGUGGGCGAGAUGAUGGAGAAGUAGGGUUGAUCAGUGUAGCCAUGAACUAAGCUUACUUCACCCCCAGUUACUCAACUGGUCACACCCACUGUUGCCUGUCUGACUCUCUCGGAGCCCGUGUAAUCUGCAGUGGGCCACAUGGCCCAAAGUUUGAAAACUUGCCUAACAAUAAUAGCCACAAUUUACUGAAUGAUUACCCGAUGCCAAUUACUACGGCACACUUUAAAAAUACAUUAUCUGGCUGGGUGUGGUGGCCCACCCCUGGAAUCCCAGCACUUUGGGAGGCUGAUGCGGGUGGAUUGUUUGAGGCCAGGAGUAUGAUACCAGCCUGGCCAACACGGCAAAACCCUGCCUUUACUGAAAAUACAAAAAUUAGCUGGGUGUGGUGACACACACCUGUAAUCCCAGCUACUCAGGAGGCUGAGGUGGGAGAAUCGCUUGAACCCAGGAGGUGGAGGUUGCAGUGAGCUGAGAUCAUGCCACUGCACUCCAGCCUGGCGACACAGCAAGAGUCUGUCUUCAAAAAAAUAAGUUAAAUAAAUAAAAUAAAAUAUAUUAUUCACAUUUCACCCUUACCAGAGAAGUGAGCUCAAUUUUGACAUAAAGAUAAUUGAGACAGAAAGUUGAUUUAAAACACACUGAGUUCUGACAGCUGCUAAAAUGAAAAGCAGAGAAACAAAUCCAGGCAUCUUGACUGUAAGGCUUGAACUCCUAAUCCCUACAUUCCUAUACUUCACCCACAUUAUAUGAAAAUCUUCAGGUUUCUCUGAAGUUAGAGUUCCAU